UAAACUAUUCAUGGCAUUAAUUAUUCUUGCAGGAACUAGAAAGCCUGUGCCUACCCAGGGUGGAGGUAGCUCCUCUGGAGCGUCCACGGGCACUAAUCAGGGAGGGGACGACCCUAUAGCUACAGGCACUUCUCACCCAGUCCCAGCAGCGAGCUUCACAGGAGGGCUAGCACAGAGCAUGUCUCAUUACAUUUACACAACGUCAAUUGGUCAGGCAGACAAGGGAAAAGUGAAAGGAGAGCGCGAGUAACCAGCAAACCACCAAGGAGUACUGACAAUUUGUUGCUAUCCAUGAACGAUGCCAGAGGCUGCACAUACUCAACCCUACUGUAAAAAACUCGUGUAUAUAUACGAAUGUAAAUUUGUUCGUGUCUGAUAAGCUCGUGUGAAUAAAUAAUGGUGUAAUUUCUAGGAGCUACGCGUCGUAACAAGAUUUCCAGGAAGUCAGCAAAAUUAGGUGGAUC
rnacentral:lncRNA from 1 species